GAGAGGAAGGAAGAAGACAGAGCAGGGGAGACACUGCCAGCCGCCACCAGAAGAAGCAGCUAUCUAAUUUGGCUUCAAGCCCUGUCGGGAGGGAAUUCAUACCUUGUCGUGUAAAUAUAGAUGACUACCUGGGGAGACCAUGCAAGAAGAAUCUGCAACUGCCACUUUCCUAAACAACUGUAAUGCCUGACUGUAUUCUAAAUACUUAUACUGACACACCUGGGUUGGAUAUUCAGCCACAUUCUAUUGCAAUCCUUCCUUUACCCAUUCAUGGAGAAACAGCCAAUGCAUUCCCAGUUCCACGGAGCUACAUGGGGAGAAGGCUGGAUGCCUGAAUCCUGGGAGUCUGGAGAAAAAGCUACCAGAAGAGGAUGCCCACCUGACAGACAACAUAGAUGGAAAGUAAAUGGCUUCUGUCCAAAACCACGGAAAUUAAGAAGUUUGCUUUUUUCUGAGGCAUUCUCUAGCUCCCUUCUAUCCAAUAAAGCAGCCCAGAUAAUGUAAUUUA